rnacentral:rRNA from 1 species
GGAUUCCCCUAGUAAUGGCGAAUGAAGAGGGAAAAGCCCAAAUUUGUAAUCUGGCUCUUUCAGAGUCCGAGUUGUAAUUUUAAGAACUGUUUUCAGUGCUGGACCAUGUACAAGUCUGUUGAAAAGCAGCAUCAUAGAAGGUGAUAAUCCUGUUCAUGAUAUGGACUACCAGUGCAAUAUGAUACAGUCUCUAAGAGUCGAGUUGUUUGGGAAUGCAGCUCAAAGUGGGUGGUAAAUUCCAUCUAAGGCUAAAUAUUGAUGAGAGACCGAUAGCAAACAAGUACCGUGAGGGAAAGAUGAAAAGAACUUUGGAAAGAGAGUUAACAGUACGUGAAAUUGUUAAAAGGGAAACAAUUGAAGUUAGACUUGUUAUUGUUGGUUCAACCUUUUGUUAAAGGUUUAUUCUAAUAUUAACAGACCAACAUCAAUUUUUGGGUGUUGGAGAAGGGUUUAAGGAAAUGUAGCAGCCUCUGGCUGUGUUAUAGUCCUGAGCUUUGAUACAAUGCUUAAGAUUGAGGAAUGCA